rnacentral:rRNA from 1 species
UACGUAGGGGGCUAGCGUUGUCCGGAAUCAUUGGGCGUAAAGAGCGUGUAGGCGGCCAGGCAGGUCUGGUGUGAAAACUCGAGGCUUAACCUCGAGAUGUCAUCGGAAACCAUCUGGCUAGAGUCCGGAAGAGGAGAGUGGAAUUCCUGGUGUAGCGGUGAAAUGCGCAGAUAUCAGGAAGAACACCAAUGGCGAAAGCAGCUCUCUGGGACGGUACUGACGCUGAGACGCGAAAGCGUGGGGAGCAAACAGG